AAAAAUGAAUCAUGGAGGAACACUGAGAAUUCCGUAGUAGCACAGUUUCGUUAGUUGGUUGCUAAAUGAUAGAAGCAAAUCCAUACCUGCUGUCACCAAGGAAGUCGGUAGAAACCAGAUCCUCCUCCGCAUAACCCAUGAUACCCUUGAGUGGACCCUCGGAAGCAGCCCUGUAAUCAACAGCAAGCAUUACCAAACAUAUAUGGAGAGAACUACUAUAGAUCAAGAUAGACGCAGUGAAACAUAGACACUGAACAUGUGGUAGUGGCGAUUAAUCCAACAAGGAGUGUUUAUUACCUUCAGACAUUGGUUUAGAAAUAAAUUGAGUGGUUAUUAAAA
rnacentral:lncRNA from 1 species